CGGGUGAGUAACACGUAUCCAACCUGCCGUCUACUCUUGGACAGCCUUCUGAAAGGAAGAUUAAUACAAGAUGGCAUCAUGAGUCCGCAUGUUCACAUGAUUAAAGGUGUUCCGGUAGACGAUGGGGAUGCGUUCCAUUAGAUAGUAGGCGGGGUAACGGCCCACCUAGUCUUCGAUGGAUAGGGGUUCUGAGAGGAAGGUCCCCCACAUUGGAACUGAGACACGGCCCAA
rnacentral:rRNA from 1 species